GUACCGAGCGGCGACGGGUGAGUAACACGUGGGUGAUCUGCCCUGUACUUCGGGAUAAGCCUGGGAAACUGGGUCUAAUACCGGAUAUGAGCCGAGGUUGCAUGACCUCGGUUGGAAAGAUUUAUCGGUACAGGAUGGGCCCGCGGCCUAUCAGCUUGUUGGUGGGGUAAUGGCCUACCAAGGCGACGACGGGUAGCCGACCUGAGAGGGUGACCGGCCACACUGGGACUGAGACACGGCCCAGACUCCUACGGGAGGCAGCAGUGGGGAAUAUUGCACAAUGGGCGGAAGCCUGAUGCAGCGACGCCGCGUGAGGGAUGACGGCCUUCGGGUUGUAAACCUCUUUCGACAGGGACGAAGCGCAAGUGACGGUACCUGUAGAAGAAGCACCGGCCAACUACGUGCCAGCAGCCGCGGUAAUACGUAGGGUGCGAGCGUUGUCCGGAAUUACUGGGCGUAAAGAGCUUGUAGGCGGUUUGUCGCGUCGUUUGUGAAAACUUGGGGCUCAACCCCAAGCUUGCAGGCGAUACGGGCAGACUAGAGUACUUCAGGGGAGACUGGAAUUCCUGGUGUAGCGGUGAAAUGCGCAGAUAUCAGGAGGAACACCGGUGGCGAAGGCGGGUCUCUGGGAAGUAACUGACGCUGAGAAGCGAAAGCGUGGGUAGCGAACAGGAUUAGAUACCCUGGUAGUCCACGCCGUAAACGGUGGGUACUAGGUGUGGGUUUCCUUCCACGGGAUCCGUGCCGUAGCUAACGCAUUAAGUACCCCGCCUGGGGAGUACGCCGCAGCUAAAACUCAAGAAUGACGGGGGCCCGCACAAGCGGCGGAGCAUGUGGAUUAAUUCGAUGC
rnacentral:rRNA from 1 species